rnacentral:rRNA from 1 species
AAUCAUUAUAAAAUUGAUAACAUAAGGGAAAAUAAUGAUAUUACCUUAUUAUUAGUGUCGUCCAAAACUGGUGCCAGAAGACUCGGUAAGGCCAGAGACACAAACGUUAAUCGUCUUAAUCAGGCGUAAAGGGUUUGUAGGCGGCUUAAAAUUUACUUAUACAAAUAAAUAAAUAAUAAGUAAAGAAUAAAAGCUAGAAUCAAAUAGAGGAUAUAUGAAAUAACGCUUAGAGUAGGUCUGAUAUCCUUAGAUACUAAGUAGAAUAUUAAAGGCGAAAGCUUUUUUCCAUUAAUGAUUGACGCUCAGAAACGAAGGUGAGGAUAGGAAAUAGGAUUUGAUACCCAGAAUACCCCUCUCUGUCAACGAUGAAUGGUAGUUAUUAGUAAAAUUUAUUAAUGGCAAUGUUAACACAAUAACCAUUCCGCCUUGUGAGUACAACUGCAAAGUUGAAAACAAAAAAAUUAGUCGGUUUCGGAGCAAACGAAGUGAAGCAUGUUAUUUAAUUCAAUAAAUCCGCAAAAAUGCCAA